UACGUAGGUGGCAAGCGUUAUCCGGAUUUACUGGGCGUAAAGGGAGCGUAGGCGGAUACUUAAGUGGGAUGUGAAAUACCCGGGCUCAACCUGGGUGCUGCAUUCCAAACUGAGUAUCUAGAGUGUGGGAGAGGAGAGUGGAAUUCCUAGUGUAGCGGUGAAAUGCGUAGAGAUUAGGAAGAACACCAGUGGCGAAGGCGACUCUCUGGACCAUAACUGACGCUGAGGCUCGAAAGCGUGGGGAGCAAACAGG
rnacentral:rRNA from 1 species